CCUACGGGUGGCAGCAGUGGGGAAUCUUCCGCAAUGGACGAAAGUCUGACGGAGCAACGCCGCGUGAGUGAUGACGGCCUUCGGGUUGUAAAGCUCUGUUAAUCGGGACGAAUGGUUCUUGUGCAAAUAGUGCGAGGAUUUGACGGUACCGGAAUAGAAAGCCACGGCUAACUACGUGCCAGCAGCCGCGGUAAUACGUAGGUGGCAAGCGUUGUCCGGAAUUAUUGGGCGUAAAGCGCGCGCAGGCGGAUCAGUUAGUCUGUCUUAAAAGUUCGGGGCUUAACCCCGUGAUGGGAUGGAAACUGCUGAUCUAGAGUAUCGGAGAGGAAAGUGGAAUUCCUAGUGUAGCGGUGAAAUGCGUAGAUAUUAGGAAGAACACCAGUGGCGAAGGCGACUUUCUGGACGAAAACUGACGCUGAGGCGCGAAAGCCAGGGGAGCG
rnacentral:rRNA from 1 species